rnacentral:snRNA from 1 species
AUCGCUUCUCGGCCUUUUGGCUAAGAUCAAGUGUAGGAAGCACGUAGUGAUCACACUGACUGGGAAGAAGAGCUCGAUGCAUUAUGCACAAGUCACAAAUUAUUUUAAAGCCAGAAGCCUACUGAUUACUUCCCUAGAACUAGGUCAGAAUUAGGGAGGACAAAUUACUUGCACUACUCUGAGGCAGAUGGUUGUCUAUUUCUU